rnacentral:rRNA from 1 species
UACGUAGGGGGCAAGCGUUGUCCGGAAUUAUUGGGCGUAAAGAGCGCGUAGGCGGUCCGGUAAGUCGGUUGUGAAAGUCGGGGGCUCAACCCUCGGAUGCCGAUCGAUACUGUCGGGCUAGAGUCCGGAAGAGGCGAGUGGAAUUCCUGGUGUAGCGGUGAAAUGCGUAGAUAUCGAGAGGAACACCUGCGGCGAAGGCGGGUUGCUGGGCUGACACUGACGCUGAACUGCGAAAGCUAGGGGAGCGAACGGG